UGGUUGAGCCUCAUGGCUCUACUACUGGAAGACGUGGGCGUAAGACUCCUCGAGAGUCAGAUACUCUCGAGGAGCGAGAAAGGAAGCGGCUGCGAGAUAUCUUUGCAGGACCAUCUGACGAAGAUUCUUUUGAGGGGUUUACUGAGAGAAUGGAGGAAGAGAUGGUUAGCUCGGAAGAGGAUGACAUGGAAUGGACUCGUGUAAGGGAGGAUUUGGGUGCCACUGGCAAUGAUAGUAUGGAAGGCGAUUGGGGACCUUCAGGAUUAGACACGUGGACAAGCUGGAGGGAUGGGACGGGAUCCACAGCUGAGGAUGCUGUGGGGCGUAGUCAAAGGUGUUCCAGUUCUGAUGAGGAAAGUGAUGAGGAAACGCCCGGGCUAAGGAGAACAGCUGAUAGCGAUGAGGACUUGUAACUGGCAUAAAAUGGGGUUUGGGAGCAAUAGCAAAUUGCGUUGGGCAAGGUAAUCUGGACGAACGUUUGGGAUCUGUGUGGGAAGUUUUCCUGAAGACGGGUGUGAUUCGUUUGCUGACUACCUUUGACCUUCCGUCGUCUUCUUGACGGACGCCAUCUGCUUACUCUGGACUUACGGACUGACUGACUACGGCCUCGGAUUCUCCUACCUGUGUCUAUCGUUGGAACUGGUGAACUACAAACGUCUGCAUCUGCCUUACGACCUUCGGAACGGAUUGGGACUUCGCUGACUGCUUCUGCCCUCGUCUGCUGUGUUUGUAUCGGGAAAUUGCCUGCUGUGUGGAGGAGUAACCUCUAAGUUACUCAAACAUAGCUCUUGGCAGCAGAGAAGCAUCUGCUGCCAAUUAGUUGCAUUUCCUUUGAACUUUUUGUUCACCAGCUUCUGUUUGUUUAUUCCCAGGCUGAAGCAAGCUGUUUUGAUUUAACCCGGAUUAAACUCCGGUUUAAUCCGGUUUAUCUUUUGAACGUUUUUCUUGUCUCUUUUUACUUUUAAGGCCAGUGUUUGCCUAGCCCUUGUCUUUUACGGGCAUUUUUGGUUCUGUAACUCCAAUAAACUUUGUUAUCUUUUA